GGCCGCGGGAAUUCGAUUCAGGCCUAGAACAUGCAAGUCGAGCGGUAGAGAGAGGCUUGCUUCUCUUGAGAACGGCGGACGGGUGAGUAAUGCCUAGGAAUCUGCCUGGUAGUGGGGGAUAACGUUCGGAAACGGACGCUAAUACCGCAUACGUCCUACGGGAGAAAGCAGGGGACCUUCGGGCCUUGCGCUAUCAGAUGAGCCUAGGUCGGAUUAGCUAGUUGGUGAGGUAAUGGCUCACCAAGGCUACGAUCCGUAACUGGUCUGAGAGGAUGAUCAGUCACACUGGAACUGAGACACGGUCCAGACUCCUACGGGAGGCAGCAGUGGGGAAUAUUGGACAAUGGGC
rnacentral:rRNA from 1 species